CAGAGGGUGCAAGCGUUAAAUCGGAUUUACUGGGCGUAAAGCGCGCGUAGGUGGCCAAUUAAAGUCAAAUAGUGAAAAUCCCCCGAGCUUAACUUGGGAAUUGCAUUACGAUACUGGUUGGCUAGAGUAUGGGAGAGGAUGGUAGAAUUCCAGGUGUAGCGGUGAAAUGCGUAGAGAUCUGGAGGAAUACCGAUGGCGAAGGCAGCCAUCUGGCCUAAUACUGACACUGAGGUGCGAAAGCAUGGGAGCAAACAGGAUU
rnacentral:rRNA from 1 species